rnacentral:lncRNA from 1 species
GGGCCCACUGGGGAGUUGGUAGCAGCUGCUGAUGAUAAAGAGGAAGUUGUUCUUGUAGCGCAGUUCGAUCUGGACAAAAUCAAGUCUAAAAGGCAGAGUUGGGGGGUAUUUCAUGAUCGACGCCCUGAUUUAUAUAAGGUUCUUUUGACAUUAGAUGGAAGCAACCCAGUCAACUGAUCCAAGAUGGACCAAGUAUCGCCGAUUCUCCUGCCUUUUUUUUUGUCAAUCAUAUCAAUAAAAGAGUGACUAAAAAAUAAUCUUGUAUUCAAGUUCUGCUGUAAUGUAACUCGCUAUGUACUGUAAUCUAUCACAAUCUUGGAGUUUGAAUCCUGCAAUGUUUCAUCAGUAGAAUUAAUGUGCUACUUUGAUGGGUUUGGUCACAUUGAACACAUUCAUCAUUGGGACCUUGAUUUGUAUUUAUGAUCGACGCCUUGAUUUAUAUAAGGUUCUUUUGACAGUAGAUGGAAGCAACCCAGUCAACUGAUCCAAGAUGGACCAAGUAUCGCCGAUUCUCCUGCCUUUUUUUUUGUCAAUCAUAUCAAUAAAAGAGUGACUAAAAAAUAAUCUUGUAUUCAAGUUCUGCUGUAAUGUAACUCGCUAUAGCAGCUGCUGAUGAUAAAGAGGAAGUUGUUCUUGUAGCGCAGUUCGAUCUGGACAAAAUCAAGUCUAAAAGGCAGAGUUGGGGGGUAUUUCAUGAUCGACGCCCUGAUUUAUAUAAGGUUCUUUUGACAUUAGAUGGAAGCAACCCAGUCAACUGAUCCAAGAUGGACCAAGUAUCGCCGAUUCUCCUGCCUUUUUUUUUGUCAAUCAUAUCAAUAAAAGAGUGACUAAAAAAUAAUCUUGUAUUCAAGUUCUGCUGUAAUGUAACUCGCUAUGUACUGUAAUCUAUCACAAUC